rnacentral:rRNA from 1 species
UACGUAGGUGGCGAGCGUUGUCCGGAUUUAUUGGGCGUAAAGGGAGCGUAGGCGGACUUUUAAGUGAGAUGUGAAAUACCCGGGCUCAACUUGGGUGCUGCAUUUCAAACUGGAAGUCUAGAGUGCAGGAGAGGAGAAUGGAAUUCCUAGUGUAGCGGUGAAAUGCGUAGAGAUUAGGAAGAACACCAGUGGCGAAGGCGAUUCUCUGGACUGUAACUGACGCUGAGGCUCGAAAGCGUGGGGAGCAAACAGGAUUAGAUACCCGGGUA